UCACAGCCUGAUGCGGAAGGAGCUCCGGCCGAUAUCGGGACAGAAAUUCCUCAGCCUGCUGCCGAUCUUGGGGCAGAAAUUCCUCAGGAGGGCGCUGCAGCUGGAGGAGAAGGCGCGUUGAGUCCAGGCGACGAGCCAGCCUCCCCUCCGUAGCUGAAUACUCUUCCAGAGCUUCAGCCCGGACGUUCAGCGACUACGGCACCACCGUGUGCACACUCAGUUCAAGGAACUCGGGGUCACUAAUAGGGCUACGCUUAUAGAGUGUCGGCACUCUAUUAGCCGGUUUUUCUCUAGGCGCCGCCAUUUGUUUGCUCAGUUCAGUUCGGGCGCGUCUGGUGAUAGUUACAUUUCGAAAAUGCAACUUCUUGAAUUUUAAUACAAUGCUAUGCACCCUGUUGCAGGCGUUCUUGUACACGUUAUUCAAGAAACGUAAUCAGGACAUCCGUCGCCAAUGUUGCAAAACUUGGAGGACGCUUAAAGGGGCCAUGAAAGGAUUG